rnacentral:rRNA from 1 species
GACGAACGCUGGCGGCGUGCUUAACACAUGCAAGUCGAACGGAAAGGCCCUGCUUUUGUGGGGUGCUCGAGUGGCGAGCGGGUGAGUAACACGUGAGUAACCUGCACUUGACUUUGGGAUAACUUCAGGAAACUGGGGCUAAUACCGGAUAGGAGCUCCUGCUGCAUGGUGGGGGUUGGAAAGUUUCGGCGGUUGGGGAUGGACUCGCGGCUUAUCAGCUUGUUGGUGGGGUAGUGGCUUACCAAGGCUUUGACGGGUAGCCGGCCUGAGAGGGUGACCGGCCACAUUGGGACUGAGAUACGGCCCAGACUCCUACGGGAGGCAGCAGUGGGGAAUAUUGCACAAUGGGCGGAAGCCUGAUGCAGCAACGCCGCGUGCGGGAUGACGGCCUUCGGGUUGUAAACCGCUUUCGCCUGUGACGAAGCGUGAGUGACGGUAAUGGGUAAAGAAGCACCGGCUAACUACGUG